UAGUCAGACUACGUUCCUGAUGGAGACUGAGAGUUCGCAGUAUGCAUUGGCUUUGUCAUCAUCAUCAUCUUCUUUACCUCCACACUAUCAAAAUCCUGAAUCAUGCAUAGGAAGCUUUAUCAAUCUGGCUUCUAGCUACAGAAGCUUUCUCCGUCAUCUGAAUCCCCACGGUUUAGCUCUAGGUCUUCAAAACGGUAUAUGGAUUGAACCCAGAACCCUCCAAGAUCCUAACUAUUUGACCCUUUUUUUAUUUAGUGUUUUUAUCAUAUACUAGUUUUGAUUUUGAAUGGUUUUUGUGCAGUGAUAUGUUAUGGUACGGAUAACAAGAAUGACAACGGAGUUCCACCUUACGUUGUUUUCAAGAAGACUCAGAUUAAGGUAUAAUGUGUGUUAAUGUAUAUCAGUUUCAUUCUAAUUUGAUAUGUUUUCCUUAACCUCAAACUUUCCUUUUUCAUUUUUUGUGCCCCUUCAUUAUUUUUUUUGUAGAAAAUAAUAGUUACGCUUCCUUCGAGCUUUAAGCAUUACGGUUACGGUUGUUUAGCAAGAGAAGCCACACUCAGUAAACGUUCUUCUCAUGCCACAAGCCCACCACUCCCGUUUAUCUUCUCAUCAUGCAAUCAUAACGGUGCGAAGAGACGUCAGAAAGCUCCACUAUUAAUCUCUAACGGAGAGCUCAACAUACCACAAGAUACUCCACAUUCUGAUGCUUCCUCAGUUAAUGGAUCACCCAGUGAAGUAUUACAAAUUGCUCUACCACAAUAUUCUGGUUCAGAUUUAUGUGAUCCUUGGUAUAUGCCUUGUGGUGAACACAUUAAUCAUCAAGCUCCUCCUACAUACGCUGCCUCCUCCGAGCUCGUGUUUGCUUCUCAAAGUUUCUUUGCCAAUUUUGGGCCUAUUCCAAUUUCUUAUCCGCCGAUCGAUGAAGGAUUGGAUUUAGAGGAAUUGACUAACAACUUCAAGCAGUAUGAGCUAUGGGGUGGUCCACAAGAAAACAACAACCUAGACGAUGUUAAUACUAUUGAUGGAUCUUCUUACGUGAUCUCACGAAGUCCGUUUGAUCCUAUCGGGAGACCUUGCAAUCCGUUUGGCCCUAUUGAACGACCCUUGCCGCAUCUUCCUUCUAGUUGUGAACUGGCAGAUUUGGGAUUUGUGUAAAAUUCAUGUUUUAUGUGUGUGUUUUGUCUCAUGAACUUAACUUUUGGUACUUUGUAUUUUCUAGAUGAGAAUCUUGUUUUUUUUUUUUUGCUUUCCUGUAGAAUCUUGGUUUACAGAAUCAAACACCAAUACAGCUGCAGAGACCACUUUUUGUUUUUGUUGCAUCAUCAAAUGUAUGUUUUAUACAAAACUAUAGUGAGAGUGUAUAGAUCUCAUGUAUGUUCUGCUUACUUAGAGCACACAUGUACGACAACUGAGAAGAUCAUCUCAUACAUGUAUGACCGCCAAAAAAACUGUCGAUACAUUGGGGUGGUCUUAAUUAAAUAACACAAGCAAAAAAUCGAAUAACAAAGGUUUCUAUUGAGAUGAACCAGUAACAGCAGCGUCAGCAGAUUGCUGAGAAGAGGAUCCUGAUUGUGCACCAAACACAGAGUCAGGUGAUGGAGCAGAGACUGAGCUUGUAGGAGGAGGAGGCUUAAUAAUCGGUACAUAUACAUACAAAACAGAAACAUCAAAGCUCAGAGAUAUUUCUCAUCAAGUAAACACCUUUGGCUGAGAUUAUCUAUUCUUGUUGGCAUUCUCUAUCCUUUUCAGGCUCUAAAAUGCUGCUGGUCUCAAAGAAGUUAAAGGAGCUAAAAAGUAUAAUCAGGACGUUCAGUAAAGAAAACUAUUCAGACUUAGAGAAGAGAGUUGCUGAGUCAUUUUCUAUAUUAAACCAUCUUUAAUUCGUUGAGGAUAUUAAACACCUUUUGAACUUUGUAACUCUAACCAAAGUUAUCAAAGUUCUUUAGUCUCACAGAUUAAAGCUUUUCUAUAUUUCGUGUGUCGAGUUUUUUUGGUCUAAAUCUAGGUUUGUGAUUUUUUAUGUUUAUGUGUAUGCAUGCUUGACUGUUUUAGCUGAAUCUUUUUAGAUUCUUUGUAAGGAACAAUCUAUUAUACCGAAUGCAUUGUAUUACUGGAUAUAAGAAGCCACUCAAAUGAUACAUAGCGCAAGUGUAUAUAAUCUAUAUGAUGAUAUAUGUGUUAAUGUUUUUUUUUAUGUAUAUAUACUUUUAUCUCCUUCGACUUAAUCAGUCAAAGUUAUGUCAAAAAAAAAGUCAGUCAAAGUUUUUUUUUUUAAAAUAUAUAACUGGAAUUUUGGUUUUAUUUGUAGGCAAAACAAAGUCAGUCAAAGUUUUUUUUUUAAACACACGGUGUAAAUAACAUGUUUAUUCGUCUAGGCUUUAAGACCUGCACUAUUAAAUUACGUGUGGUUGUUUUUAUUAUAUUUUUGUUAUUUGUUAGUUAAGUAUUGGGUUAUUAAAAUUAAAGAAAAAAAUAAUCGGAAUUUUGUUCAUUGUAUAACUUAAUUUAAACCCAAAACAGAGUCUUAUCUGCUUAUGAGAUUAAUGAGCUUGAAUAAUUACUUAGAAGUUACAACACUGCAAUGUAGUUAUUAUUUUAUUUAACAUCAUUCAAAGGCCUCCACUUUUGUUCUCACGUUGUAUCUUUUACAAAGACUAGAUCCGGUGUCCGCGCUACGCGCGGAUAACAUGUUCAAAUUAAGUAAAUUUAUACUUUUGAUUGGUAGUUUUUUAGUUUAAGAAGUUGUUUGUUAAUUUUGUGUGUUGUAGAUUUAACCAUAGAGUUUUGGUUUGAAUGUGAUGCGGUAAUCAUUUUCUCUUUUUUAAAUAACAGUAAGUUUGAAUAAUAUAUUGUGUUGAGCAAUCAAUUUUCGUAGGAGAAAAGAGUAUUUUUGAGUAUUUAGUGGUAUCGUUAGCUAUCAAGCUUAAAAUAACAGUUUAUUCCUCUUUUGGAAGCGUUGUAUGAUAUCAAUGUCGGUGUCGAAGUAAAAGCGCGAUUCAGGUGUGGUUGUAAGUGAUAAUUUCCCUGAAAAAGUAAAUUAUUUGUAAGCAUUUAUUUUGACAUAAACUUUAUGUUUAGUUUAUUACCUUCAUGUAACCGUGGAAUGAUACUUGUGAUGAUUACAAUUUAGUUUUUCCUGGUAGAUAUGCGAUUUAGCUCCCUGAAAUUUUCUGCCUUGUUGUUCCAGAUAGUUAGACGUACCAUUUUGGAUCUACAAAUAAUGAUUGUAUUAUAUAUUUAUUGCUUAAAAUAAAUAUUAUUUAAUAAAGUGUUAGUACCUAUGUAAACGCAAUGCAAUGAUGAUCUUUGUAUCUGUGUUCUUGUUAUAUAUAUCACUUCCUUGGAUGAGGCAUAUUGGCCAACAACAUCUGUGAUAAUAAUUUGUUUUUAGUGAGAAAAAAGAGAAUUUAUUUGUUUGCGAGACCGGGAAUGGUUUUUUUUUACCUGGAAGAAAAUUGGUUGCACUUGCUAAGCUAAUCAACUGGGGGUAGCUUUGGGGCCGGAAUAUGCAUGAAGGUAUUGGUGGAAUGUUUUCUUCAAUCUGUGUAAUAAUUGUUGUCUCAUUGAUAUUGAUUAUGUAUGGUUGAACUGUAAGCAUGUACCGUUGGUUAUUGGAAAGGAGAUUAAAAUAUCUAAUGUGAUAAAUUUUCCUUUCUUCGAACCGUUGGUACAUUUUUUGUUCCUGUUGAGUGGUUUAAAGUUAUCAUUUCAAAUGUAGUUGGAAUAAUAAAAACAUAAUAUUUUUUAGACAAACCUGGAUGUCAAGAUAAAUGAAAGGUGUUCCUAAGAAAGCAUUUUGUUUUUGUGAUUUGUGAUGGGCCACAUUCUAAUGAUCCUAAUGAUUAUUGGUUGCGGUCCGAGGUUGUCGCUCCGGUUAUUGUGAUAUUCGGCUGCAUGAUCUGCACACAUAACAAUGGGAUUUAUUUUUUUAUUGCCCAUCUUUUAUAUUUUUUUAUAUUUUUUUGAAGUGAGCGUAGUUAUAAACUUAUAGUUUGUUUGUUUUUAAAAAAAAUUAGAUUUCUUUCCUUUAAUUUAAUUUAAUUAAAGAAUAUGUAUUUGAAGUGAACAGAAUUUAAUUUAAUUAUAAAAAAUUGGAUUUUUGAAGUGAAGAUAGUUUGUUUGUUUAUUUUUUAUUGCCAAACUUCCUUUUUUUUUUAAAAAAGGACGAAGCAUGAGUAUUUGGAAGUGUUAAUUUUUUAGUAUUUUGGUGGGUUUGCUAGUAGGUUUCAAUUUUCAUCGAAUUUUAUAGUGUAUGUGUGUGGAAUUAGUAUUUUAUGAUAGACAGUGUAAAAUGGUCCAUAAUUUGUAUUUUAAAAUUAAAAACAUCACUACUAUAUAAAAAGAAAACCUACAUUUGCAAACAAUUAUAAUGAUGUGCUUUUAUAUUCGUUUUAUGGGAAAUUACCACAAAUAACACAUUCAUAGUACAACUUUUCAUGUUUACACAUUUUUACUCUCACUUUUAAUGAAGGAUAAAAGAUAAUUAUACCUUUAAAGUAAACUAAUCUAGACUUAGGGUUUAGAGUUGAGGGGUGAGACAUGGUUUUUGGAAUUUGAAAUUUAGGAUUAUAGUAAAUAUAUAAAUAAAUACUUAAAAAAUAUAUAAAAAUUUUUUAAAAAUAGUUUCAAACAUAAUUUUCUUUUUUCAAAAAGAAAUUUAAAAAAAAAAUUUCAGAAAAAUUUCGAAAUUUUUUUUUUUUU